AACGAACGCUGGCGGCAGGCCUAAAACAUGCAAGUCGAACGAACCUUCGGGUUAGUGGCGCACGGGUGCGUAACGCGUGGGAAUAUGCUCUUCAAUGCGGAACAACGUCGGGAAACUGACGCUAAUACCGCAUAAUGACUCCGGUCCAAAGAUUUAUCGGUGAAGGAUUAGACCGCGUCUGAUUAAGUAGGUGGUGAGGUAACGGCUCAACAAGCCGACGAUCAGUAGGAGGUCUGAGAGGAUGAUCCCCCACACUGGAACUGAGACACGGUCCCCACUCCUACGGGAGGCAGCAGUUAGGUCUGUUUGACAAUGGGGGCAACCCUGAUCCAGCCAUGCCGCGUGUGUUCCUCCCUCCUUAGGGUUGUACCGCCCUUUCCGCUGUGAAGAUAAUGACAGUAGCAGAAGAUGCAGCUCCGGCUAAAUUCGUGCCAGCCGCCGCGGUAACCC
rnacentral:rRNA from 1 species